rnacentral:rRNA from 1 species
GCUCAACCGAAGAAGUGCAUCGGAAACUGGGAAACUUGAGUGCAGAAGAGGACAGUGGAACUCCAUGUGUAGCGGUGAAAUGCGUAGAUAUAUGGAAGAACACCAGUGGCGAAGGCGGCUGUCUGGUCUGUAACUGACGCUGAGGCUCGAAAGUAUGGGUAGCAAACAGGAUUAGAUACCCUGGUAGUCCAUACCGUAAACGAUGAAUGCUAAGUGUUGGAGGGUUUCCGCCCUUCAGUGCUGCAGCUAACGCAUUAAGCAUUCCGCCUGGGGAGUACGGCCGCAAGGCUGAAACUCAAAGGAAUUGACGGGGGCCCGCACAAGCGGUGGAGCAUGUGGUUUAAUUCGAAGCUACGCGAAGAACCUUACCAGGUCUUGACAUACUAUGCAAAUCUAAGAGAUUAGACGUUCCCUUCGGGGACAUGGAUACAGGUGGUGCAUGGUUGUCGUCAGCUCGUGUCGUGAGAUGUUGGGUUAAAUCCCGCAACGAGCGCAACCCUUAUUAUCAGUUGCCAGCAUUAAGUUGGGCACUCUGGUGAGACUGCCGGUGACAAACCGGAGGAAGGUGGGGAUGACGUCAAAUCAUCAUGCCCCUUAUGACCUGCGCUACACACGUGCUACAAUGGAUGGUACAACG